GAUGAUUGAGGUCGGAAAUGGCUCCCGACACACUCGAAAGAGUACCUGAGAUGCAGGAUACGCCACCCUGCCAAUUAUC
rnacentral:ncRNA from 12 species